AGAGUUUGAUCCUGGCUCAGAUUGAACGCUGGCGGUAUGCUUAACACAUGCAAGUCGAACGGUAACAUGAUUAGGUCGAGCGAGAAAGCCUUCGGGUGAGUAUAGCGGCGGACGGGUGAGGAAUGCAUGGGAAUCUGCCCAGGAGUUGGGGACAACAGUUGGAACCGACUGCUAAUACCGCAUACGCCCUACGGGGGAAAGUGGAGGACCUUCGGGCCUCACGCUACUGGAUGAGCCCAUGUCAGAUUAGCUAGUUGGUGGGGUAAAGGCCUACCAAGGCGACGAUCCUUAGCUGGUCUGAGAGGAUGAUCAGCCACACUGGGACUGAGACACGGCCCAGACUCCUACGGGAGGCAGCAGUGGGGAAUAUUGCACAAUGGGCGCAAGCCUGAUCCAGCCAUGCCGCGUGUGUGAAGAAGGCCUUAGGGUUGUAAAGCACUUUCAGUGGGGAGGAAAGGUUAGUAGUUAAUACCUGCUAGCUGUGACGUUACCCACAGAAGAAGCACCGGCUAACUCCGUGCCAGCAGCCGCGGUAAUACGGAGGGUGCAAGCGUUAAUCGGAAUUACUGGGCGUAAAGCGCAUGUAGGUGGUUGAUUAAGUCAGAUGUGAAAGCCCGGAGCUUAACUCCGGAAUUGCAUUAGAAACUGGUUAACUAGAGUACUGUAGAGGAAGGUAGAAUUUCAGGUGUAGCGGUGAAAUGCGUAGAGAUCUGAAAGAAUACCAGUGGCGAAGGCGGCCUUCUGGACAGAUACUGACACUCAGAUGCGAAAGCGUGGGUAGCAAACAGGAUUAGAUACCCUGGUGGUCCACGCUAUUAACGAUGUCUACUUGGAGGUUGUGGCCUUGAGCCGUGGCUUUCGGAGCUAACGCGUUAAGUAGACCGCCUGGGGAGUACGGUCGCAAGAUUAAAACUCAAAUGAAUUGACGGGGGCCCGCACAAGCGGUGGAGCAUGUGGUUUAAUUCGAUGCAACGCGAAGAACCUUACCUACUCUUGACAUCCUGAGAAGCCAGCGGAGACGCAGGUGUGCCUUCGGGAACUGUGAGACAGGUGCUGCAUGGCUGUCGUCAGCUCGUGUUGUGAAAUGUUGGGUUAAGUCCCGUAACGAGCGCAACCCUUGUCCUUAUUUGCCAGCACGUAAUGGUGGGAACUCUAAGGAGACUGCCGGUGACAAACCGGAGGAAGGUGGGGACGACGUCAAGUCAUCAUGGCCCUUACGACCUGGGCUACACACGUGCUACAAUGGCCGGUACAGAGGGCUGCAAACCCGCGAGAGGGAGCUAAUCUCAGAAAACCGAUCGUAGUCCGGAUCGCAGUCUGCAACUCGACUGCGUGAAGUCGGAAUCGCUAGUAAUCGUGAAUCAGAAUGUCACGGUGAAUACGUUCCCGGGCCUUGUACACACCGCCCGUCACACCAUGGGAGUGGGUUGCUCCAGAAGUGACCGUUCUAACCUUCGGGAAGACGGUCACCACGGAGUGAUUCAUGACUGGGGUGAAGUCGUAACAAGGUAGCC
rnacentral:rRNA from 1 species